rnacentral:rRNA from 1 species
UGGUCAAGUUAUUAAGGGUGCAGGGCGGAUGCCUUGGCACUAGGAGCCGAUGAAGGACGUGAUAAGCUGCGAUAAGCUUCGGGGAGUUGCACGUAAACUUUGAUCCGAAGAUUUCCGAAUGAGGAAACUCACUUAGAGUAAUGUCUAAGUAUCAUUAAGUGAAUACAUAGCUUAAUGAGGGGAACUCAGGGAACUGAAACAUCUAAGUACCUGAAGGAAGAGAAAGAAAUUCGAUUCCGUAAGUAGCGGCGAGCGAACGCGGAUUAGCCCAAACCAAUAAAGUUUUCUUUAUUGGGGUUGCGGACAUAUCAUAACGAAGAGGUAUCGUAAUUGAAGAGGUUUGGAAAGACCCACCACAGAAGGUAAUAGUCCUGUAUGUUAAACGAGAAGACUUUAGAUAUGAUCCAGAGUACCACGGGACACGUGAAACCCUGUGGGAAGCAGGAGGGACCACCCUCCAAGGCUAAAUACUACCUAGUGACCGAUAGCGUAUAGUACCGUGAGGGAAAGGUGAAAAGAACCCCGGGAGGGGAGUGAAAUAGAACCUGAAACCCUGCACUUACAAGCUGUGGAAGCACAUUUCUUGUGUGACCGCGUACUUUUGUAGAACGGGCCAACGAGUUACGUUAAGUAGCAAGGUUAAGCACUUAAGGUGUGGAGCCGUAGCGAAAGCGAGUUUUAACUGAGCGUUCAGUUACUUGACGUAGACCCGAAACCGGGCGACCUACCCAUGAGCAGGAUGAAGCGAAAGUAAAAUUUCGUGGAGGUCCGAACCCACGAGCGUUGAAAAGCUCGGGGAUGACUUGUGGGUAGCGGUGAAAUUCCAAUCGAGCCCGGAGAUAGCUGGUUCUCCCCGAAAUAGCUUUAGGGCUAGCCUCAAGGUGAGAGAUACGGAGGUAGAGCACUGAAUGUCCUAGGGGGUAUUGCACCUACCGAAGACUAUCAAACUCCGAAUGCCGUCAUCUUAUACUUGGGAGUCAGACUGUGGGUGAUAAGAUUCAUAGUCGAAAGGGCAACAGCCCAGAUCGUCAGCUAAGGUCCCUAAAUGUAAGUUAAGUGGUAAAGGAUGUGGGAUUGCACAGACAACCAGGAUGUUGGCUUAGAAGCAGCCACUCAUUCAAAGAGUGCGUAAUAGCUCACUGGUCGAGUGAUCCUGCGCCGAAGAUUUCCGGGGGCUAAAACUUACUACCGAAGCUACGGCAUCAGUAAUGAUGGUGGGGGAGCUUCCCAUACGGGUUGAAGCAUGACCGUAAGGACAUGUGGACAGUAUGGGAGUGAGAAUGUUGGCAUGAGUAGCGAGAUGUGGGUGAGAAUCCCACAGGCCGUAAACCCAAGGUUUCCAGGGGGAAGGUUCGUCCGCCCUGGGUUAGUCGGGACCUAAGCUGAGGCCGAAAGGCGUAGGUGAUGGACAACAGGUUGAUAUUCCUGUACUACCGAUAACCGUUUGAGAGAAGGGAUGACACAGUAGGAUAAGCUAAGCACACUGUUGGUUAUGUGUGCCCAAGCAUUGAGGCAGUCAAAGUAGGCAAAUCCGCUUUGAUAAUGCUGGGAUGUGAUGGGGAGCGAAAUUUAGUAGCGAAGUAGCUGAUUUCACACUGUCAAGAAAAGUCUCUAUCGAGGUUAAAGGUACCCGUACCGCAAACCGACACAGGUGGGUGAGGAGAGUAUCCUAAGGCCAGCGAGAGAACUGUUGUUAAGGAACUCGGCAAAAUGACCCCGUAACUUAGGGAUAAGGGGUGCCACCAUCAGGUGGCCGCAGAGAAUAGGCCCAAGCGACUGUUUACCAAAAAACAUAGGUUUCUGCUAAGUCGCAAGACGAUGUAUAGGAGCUGACGCCUGCCCGGUGCUGGAAGGUUAAGGGGAUCUGUUAGAGCAAUCGAAGCAGUGAACUUAAGCCCCAGUAAACGGCGGCCGUAACUAUAACGGUCCUAAGGUAGCGAAAUUCCUUGUCGGGUAAGUUCCGACCCGCACGAAAGGCGUAACGAUUUGGGCACUGUCUCAACAACAGACUCGGUGAAAUUGUAAUUCCGGUGAAGAUGCCGGAUACCUGCGACAGGACGGAAAGACCCCAUGGAGCUUUACUGUAGCUUGACAUUGGGUCUUGGUACUACAUGUACAGGAUAGGUGGGAGGCUUUGAAACCAGGACGCCAGUUUUGGCGGAGCCAUCCUUGGGAUACCACCCUUGUAGUACUGGGACUCUAACCAUAGGCCAUGAAUCUGGUCUUGGGACACUGUCAGGUGGGCAGUUUGACUGGGGCGGUCGCCUCCCAAAAGGUAACGGAGGCGCUCAAAGGUUCUCUCAGUACGGUCGGAAAUCGUACGUAGAGUGUAAAGGCAAAGAGAGCUUGAUUGCAAGACAUACAGGUCGAGCAAGGAUGAAAAUCGGACUUAGUGAUCCGGUGGUUCUGCGUGGAAGGGCCAUCGCUCAACGGAUAAAAGCUACCCUGGGGAUAACAGGCUUAUCUCCCCCAAGAGUCCACAUCGACGGGGAGGUUUGGCACCUCGAUGUCGGCUCAUCACAUCCUGGGGCUGUAGUAGGUCCCAAGGGUUGGGCUGUUCGCCCAUUAAAGUGGUACGCGAGCUGGGUUCAGAACGUCGUGAGACAGUUCGGUCCCUAUCCGUCGCAGGCGUAGGAAAUUUGAGAAGACCUGUCCUUAGUACGAGAGGACCGGGAUGGACGUACCUCUGGUGUACCAGUUGUCCUGCCAAGGGCAUGGCUGGGUAGCUAUGUACGGAAUGGAUAAGCGCUGAAAGCAUCUAAGCGCGAAGCCAACUUCAAGAUAAGAUUUCCCACCGCAAGGGUAAGACCCCAGAAAGACUAUCUGGUUGAUAGGUCGAAGGUGUAAGUGCAGCAAUGUAUUUAGCUUAUCGAUACUAAUAGGUCGAGGACUUGACCAAU